rnacentral:rRNA from 1 species
CCUACGGGAGGCAGAAGUGAGGAAUAUUGGUCAAUGGGCGCGAGCCUGAACCAGCCAAGUAGCGUGAAGGAUGACUGCCCUCCGGGUUGUAAACUUCUUUUAUCAAGGAAUAAAGUGAGGCACGUGUGCCUUUUUGUAUGUACUUUAUGAAUAAGGCUCGGCUAACCCCGUUCCAGCCGCCGCGGUAAUACGGAGGAUCCGGGCGUUAUCCGGAUUUAUUGGGUUUAAAGGGAGCGUAGAUGGGUUGUUACGUCAGUUGUGAAAGUUUGCGGCUCAACCGUAAAAUUGCAAUUGAUACUGGCAGCCUUGAGUACAGUUGAGGUAGGCGGAAUUCGUGGUGUAGCGGUGAAAUGCUUAGAUAUCACGAAGAACUCCGAUUGCGAAGGCAGCUUACUAAACUGCCACUGACAUUGAUGCUCGAAAGUGUGGGUAUCAAACAGGAUUAGAUACCCCAGUAGCC